CCUACGGGUGGCAGCAGUGAGGAAUAUUGGUCAAUGGCCGUAAGGCUGAACCAGCCAAGUAGCGUGAGGGAAGACUGCCCUAUGGGUUGUAAACCUCUUUUAUGCGGGGAUAAAGGUGUCCACGUGUGGAUGUUUGCAGGUACCGCAUGAAUAAGGACCGGCUAAUUCCGUGCCAGCAGCCGCGGUAAUACGGAAGGUCCGGGCGUUAUCCGGAUUUAUUGGGUUUAAAGGGAGCGUAGGCCGGUCUUUAAGCGUGCCGGGAAAUUUUGUGGCUCAACCAUGAGAAUGCGGCGCGAACUGGAGGCCUUGAGUGCGCGGAAGGCAGGCGGAAUUCGUGGUGUAGCGGUGAAAUGCUUAGAUAUCACGAAGAACCCCGAUUGCGAAGGCAGCCUGCCGCAGCGUUACUGACGCUGAAGCUCGAAAGCGCGGGUAUCGAACAGGAUUAGAUACCCCAGUAGUC
rnacentral:rRNA from 1 species